rnacentral:rRNA from 1 species
UGGGGAAUAUUGCACAAUGGGCGCAAGCCUGAUGCAGCCAUGCCGCGUGUGUGAAGAAGGCCUUCGGGUUGUAAAGCACUUUCAGCGGGGAGGAAGGCGUUAAGGUUAAUAACCUUGGCGAUUGACGUUACCCGCAGAAGAAGCACCGGCUAACUCCGUGCCAGCAGCCGCGGUAAUACGGAGGGUGCAAGCGUUAAUCGGAAUUACUGGGCGUAAAGCGCACGCAGGCGGUCUGUCAAGUCGGAUGUGAAAUCCCCGGGCUCAACCUGGGAGCUGCAUUCGAAACUGGCAGGCUAGAGUCUUGUAGAGGGGGGUAGAAUUCCAGGUGUAGCGGUGAAAUGCGUAGAGAUCUGGAGGAAUACCGGUGGCGAAGGCGGCCCCCUGGACAAAGACUGACGCUCAGGUGCGAAAGCGUGGGGAGCAAACAGG